CUGCUCCCCUCCGCGUCCAGCCAACCCGCACCUCCUCCCCGGGGAACCCCGGCCCCCCCCAAACCCCCGAUACACACACCCCACACACACACACCACACACACAUACCACACACACACACCACACACCACAAACACAUACCACACACACACACUGCCCACACACACCCCACACACACCACACACACACCCCACACACCACAUACACACCUCACAACCCCCCCCACACACACCCCACACACACACCACAAACACACACCGCCCACACACACCCACACACACACAUCCCAUACACACCACAAACACACACCCCACACACACACCCCCCACACACACACCACACACACACACACCACACACACCCCACACACACACCCCACACACACACACCCCACACACCCCACACAUACACACCACACACCACAUACACACCUCACAACCCCCACACACACACAAACCACACACAGCCCACACACACACAGCCCACACACACAGCCCACACACCCCACACACACACACACCACACACACACCCCACACACCACAUACACACCUCACAACCCCACACACACACCACAAACACAUACCACACAUACACAUACCACACACACCUCACACACACACCCCCCACACACACGCCACACACACCACACACACACACACCCCCCACACACACACACCACACACACGUCACACACACCCCCCACACACACACCCCACACACACAGACACACCACACACACACCCCCCACACACACCCCCCACACACACCCCCCACACACACACCACACACACACAGACACACCACACACACACCUCACACACACAGACACACCACACACACACCUCACACACACACACCACACACACACACCACACACACCCCACACACACACCCCACACACACACACCCCACACACCCCACACAUACACACCACACACCACAUACACACCUCACAACCCCCACACACACACAAACCACACACAGCCCACACACACACAGCCCACACACACAGCCCACACACACAUCCCAUACACACCACAAACACACACCCCACACACACACACACCACACACACACCCCACACACCACAUACACACCUCACAACCCCACACACACACCACAAACACAUACCACACAUACACAUACCACACACACCCCCCACACACACGCCACACACACCACACACACACACACCCCCCACACACACACACCACACACACGUCACACACACACACCACACACACACACCACACACACCCCCCACACACACCCCCCACACACACACCCCACACACACAGACACACCACACACACACCUCACACACACACACCACACACACACACCACAAACACACACCGCCCACACACACCCCACACACACACAUCCCAUACACACCACAAACACACACCCCACACACACACCCCCCACACACACACCACACACACACACACACCACACACACCCCACACACACACCCCACACACACACACCCCACACACCCCACACAUACACACCACACACCACAUACACACCUCACAACCCCCACACACACACAAACCACACACAUCCCACACACACAUCCCAUACACACCACAAACACACACCCCACACACACACACACCACACACACACCCCACACACCACAUACACACCUCACAACCCCACACACACACCACAAACACAUACCACACAUACACAUACCACACACACCUCACACACACACCCCCCACACACACGCCACACACACCACACACACACACACCCCCCACACACACACACCACACACACGUCACACACACACACCACACACACACACCACACACACCCCCCACACACACCCCCCACACACACCCCCCACACACACAGACACACCACACACACACCUCACACACACACACCACACACACACACCACACACGCACACCACACACACACACCACACACACACACCACACACACACACCACACACACCCCACACACACACCCCCCCACACACACACCCCACACACACACGCCACACACACCACACACACGUCACACACACACACACCACCCACACACACCCCCCACACACACACCCCACACACACAGACACACCACACACACCCCCAACACACACACCCCACACACACAGACACACCACACACACACCUCACACACCACACACACACCGCACACACACCCCGACUCCCACCCUCAUCCCACCCU
ensembl:lncRNA